rnacentral:tRNA from 1 species
AGUCUUAUAGUCAAAUAUGAUUUUAAAUUGCAAAUUUAAAGGUAAAGCCACUUUUAAGGCUU